AUUGAACGCUGGCGACAGGCUUAACACAUGCAAGUCGAGCGGGGUGAUGGUGCUUGCACUAUCACUUAGCGGCGGACGGGUGAGUAAUGCUUAGGAAUCUGCCUAUUAGUGGGGGACAACAUCUCGAAAGGGAUGCUAAUACCGCAUACGUCCUACGGGAGAAAGCAGGGGAUCACUUGUGACCUUGCGCUAAUAGAUGAGCCUAAGUCGGAUUAGCUAGUUGGUGGGGUAAAGGCCUACCAAGGCGACGAUCUGUAGCGGGUCUGAGAGGAUGAUCCGCCACACUGGGACUGAGACACGGCCCGAGCUCCUACGGGAGGCAGCAGUGGGGAAUAUUGGACAAUGGGGGGAACCCUGAUCCAGCCAUGCCGCGUGUGUGAAGAAGGCCUUAUGGUUGUAAAGCACUUUAAGCGAGGAGGAGGCUCUUUUGGUUAAUACCCAAGAUGAGUGGACGUUACUCGCAGAAUAAGCACCGGCUAACUCUGUGCCAGCCGCCGCAGUAA
rnacentral:rRNA from 1 species